UGACUGAGCGGCGGACGGGUGAGUAACGCGUGGGUAACCUGCCUUAUACAGGGGGAUAACAGUUAGAAAUGGCUGCUAAUACCGCAUAAGCACACAGCUUCGCAUGGAGCAGUGUGAAAAACUCCGGUGGUAUGAGAUGGACCCGCGUCUGAUUAGCUAGUUGGUAAGGUAACGGCUUACCAAGGCGACGAUCAGUAGCCGACCUGAGAGGGUGACCGGCCACAUUGGGACUGAGACACGGCCCAAACUCCUACGGGAGGCAGCAGUGGGGAAUAUUGCACAAUGGGGGAAACCCUGAUGCAGCGACGCCGCGUGAGUGAAGAAGUAUCUCGGUAUGUAAAGCUCUAUCAGCAGGGAAGAAGAAAUGACGGUACCUGACUAAGAAGCACCGGCUAAAUACGUGCCAGCAGCCGCGGUAAUACGUAUGGUGCAAGCGUUAUCCGGAUUUACUGGGUGUAAAGGGAGCGCAGGCGGUACGGCAAGUCUGAUGUGAAAGCCCGGGGCUCAACCCCGGUACUGCAUUGGAAACUGUCGGACUAGAGUGUCGGAGGGGUAAGUGGAAUUCCUAGUGUAGCGGUGAAAUGCGUAGAUAUUAGGAGGAACACCAGUGGCGAAGGCGGCUUACUGGACGAUUACUGACGCUGAGGCUCGAAAGCGUGNGGAGCAAACAGNAUUAGAUACCCUGGUAGUCCACGCCGU
rnacentral:rRNA from 1 species